rnacentral:rRNA from 1 species
CGCGAACGUUGGCGGCGUGCCUAACACAUGCAAGUCGUGGGGCAGCAGGCUACUACCUUCGGGUAGUAGUGCUGGCGACCGGCAAACGGGUGAGUAACACGUAGCUUACCUACCCAUAGGUUGGGGAUAACAUUCCGAAAGGGGUGCUAAUACCCAAUAAUGAGGAGACUCCAAAGCCCUUAUGGGCGCCUAUGGAUGGGGCUGCGUCCCAUCAGCUAGUUGGUGAGGUAAUGGCUCACCAAGGCUACGACGGGUAACCGGUCUGAGAGGAUGACCGGUCACAGUGGGACUGAGACACGGCCCGCACCCCUACGGGGGGCAGCAGUGGGGAAUAUUGGGCAAUGGCCGAAAGGCUGACCCAGCAACGCCGCGUGGUGGAUGAAGCCCUUCGGGGUGUAAACACCUUUUCUGGGGGAAGAUAAUGACGGUACCCCAGGAAUAAGGGACGGCUAACUACGUGCCAGCAGCCGCGGUAAUACGUAG